UACGUAGGGUGCAAGCGUUGUCCGGAAUUAUUGGGCGUAAAGAGCUCGUAGGCGGUCUGUCGCGUCUGCUGUGAAAACUCAGGGCUUAACCCUGAGCUUGCAGUGGGUACGGGCAGACUAGAGUGCGGUAGGGGAGACUGGAAUUCCUGGUGUAGCGGUGAAAUGCGCAGAUAUCAGGAGGAACACCGAUGGCGAAGGCAGGUCUCUGGGCCAUAAACUGACGCUGGAGAAGCGAAAGCCAUGGGGAGCGAACAGG
rnacentral:rRNA from 1 species